GUCCAUGACCAAAUCACCUGGAAUGCACCCCAUCGCGGUCGUAUCUCGGAAGCUAAGCAGGUUUGAGCCUGGACAAUGCAUGGAUGGGCAACCACCAUGCAUAAAACAGGUGUUGUACGCU
rnacentral:rRNA from 1 species